rnacentral:hammerhead_ribozyme from 1 species
AUCCAACUGACGAGUCCCAAAUAGGACGGAACGCGCGUAUAAACUGGAU